GAUGAACGCUGGCGGCGUGCCUAAUACAUGCAAGUCGAGCGAACAGACGAGGAGCUUGCUCCUCUGACGUUAGCGGCGGACGGGUGAGUAACACGUGGAUAACCUACCUAUAAGACUGGGAUAACUUCGGGAAACCGGAGCUAAUACCGGAUAAUAUAUUGAACCGCAUGGUUCAAUAGUGAAAGACGGUUUUGCUGUCACUUAUAGAUGGAUCCGCGCCGCAUUAGCUAGUUGGUAAGGUAACGGCUUACCAAGGCAACGAUGCGUAGCCGACCUGAGAGGGUGAUCGGCCACACUGGAACUGAGACACGGUCCAUGCUCCUACGGGAGGCAGCAGUAGGGAAUCUUCCGCAAUGGGCGAAAGCCUGACGGAGCAACGCCGCGUGAGUGAUGAAGGUCUUCGGAUCGUAAAACUCUGUUAUGAGGGAAGAACAAAUGUGUAAGUAACUAUGCACGUCUUGACGGUACCUAAUCAGAAAGCCACGGCUAACUACGUG
rnacentral:rRNA from 1 species